AAGUCGUAACAAGGUUUCCGUAGGUGAACCUGCGGAAGGAUCAUUAACACGUAUCCAAACGUUAAAACCCCCCUGUGAACCUUCAACACCAAUGCUCUCUGAACGCCUGAAUUUUGGCUAUCCCUAGUAAAUCAUUGUUGGAAAGAUUUUUGAGUUAGGGACUUCCGUCUGGGGUUCGGAUUGAGCGGAUUUGCAUUAGAAGCAUCUUGGUGCCCCCAAGCAACCACUGAUCUGAAAGUGUUUGGUGAAUUGUGUAAGGGCGGCGCACGGCCGGCGACCGGGGUCCAUUACCACGACCUACUACGUGGCCAGUUUACCACCAUAACAUGACGCCCCGCGCGCGCCGAAAGGUUGUACGCACGCCUAAAACGAACAACUGUUAACAAUGGAUAUCUUGGUUCUC
rnacentral:misc_RNA from 1 species